GAUGAACGCUGGCGGCGUGCCUAAUACAUGCAAGUCGAGCGAACAGACGAGGAGCUUGCUCCUCUGACGUUAGCGGCGGACGGGUGAGUAACACGCGGAUAACCUACCUAUAAGACUGGGAUAACUUCGGGAAACCGGAGCUAAUACCGGAUAAUAUAUUGAACCGCAUGGUUCAAUAGUGAAAGACGGUUUUGCUGUCACUUAUAGAUUGAUCCGCGCCGCAUUAGCUAGUUGGUAAGGUAACGGCUUACCAAGGCAACGACGCGUAGCCGACCUGAGAGGGUGAUCGGCCACACUGGAACUGAGACACGGUCCAGACUACUAAGGGAGGCAGCAGUAGGGAAUCUUCCGCAAUGGGCGAAAGCUUGACGGAGCAAAGCCGCGUGAGUGAUGAAGGUCUUCGGAGCGUAAAACUCUGUGAUUAGGGAAGAACAAAUGUGUAAGUAACUAUGCACGUCUGGACGGUACCUAAUCAGAAAGCCACGGCUAACUACGUG
rnacentral:rRNA from 1 species